AACGAACGCUGGCGGCGUGGAUAAGACAUGCAAGUCGAACGGGACAGACCGAGUAGCAAUAUUUGGAAUGUUCAGUGGCGAACGGGUGCGUAACACGUGGAUAACAUUCCGGAAAGCGGGGAAUAGCCCAGGGAAACUUGGAUUAAUACCGCAUGUGGCCGCAAGGCUAAAGACGGGGACCGCAAGGCCUGUCACUUUCCGAUUGGUCCGCGGCCUAUCAGCUAGGUGGCGGGGUAAUGGCCCACCAAGGCUACGACGGGUAACUGGCCUUAGAGGACGACCAGCCACAAUGGAACUGAGACACGGUCCAGACACCUACGGGUAGCAGCAGUCGAGAAUCUUUCACAAUGGGGGCAACCCUGGUGGAGCGACGCCGCGUGGAGGAUAAGGUCUUCGGAUUGUAAACUCCUGUCAUGCGAGAACAAGGUACUCAGGCUAAUAACCUGAUUGUUUGAUGGUACCGCAAGAGGAAGAGACGGCUAACUCUGUGCCAGCCGCCGCUGUAACAC
rnacentral:rRNA from 1 species